UCAUCUGAGCUAAUCGAUUCUCAUACGUGGAGGGGAAAAGAUGAAAUUUACUUAAAGACUUGUAGAUACUAAUGUGAGCCAUCUGAUGCUUCAGAACGACUCCGUCAACAGUAGAUGCUUAAUAAAUGUCCAUGAAUGCCAGAGUGACAACUGUACUGGAAGCACACCAUCACCAGGCUAUCCUGGAUAAUUAAGCUCAUAUCCAGGGUGAUGGCUCUGAAGGAAAUGGAAUCUCUUUGGGUUGCAAAUAGAAUGCUAACACUGGCUACAGGUAUGGACCAACAGUGAUGCAUUUGGAAAUACUGCUUAUUUAACUGUUCACAAAGCCGGAGUUGGGAUGCCUGCUAUUGCCUUCACCUCGCCAGGAGGAGCGUGCCUUUGUGUUUAGGCAUGCCUCUGGUUGAGGUCUGAAGGUCUAGAGGUGUGGGCAAUGCCUGACAUUAGAGGUCUGAAGAGGCAAUCUGAGAAGAACUGGAGGCUGCAACGGAGCUGCAUUAGAAGUGUCUGGCAACUUACUCCUCAAGAGAAAACGGUGGUUUACACAAGAAGAUAAAGGAUGUCUAGGACCUACCUUCUGAAUUUUACUGGCAGUAAAACCUUCCCUACGGAACAGUGUGCUUUGAGUCCCGCACCAUAUAACAUCUUCACUGCCCUUCUUCUUGUGGCCGCUUCUGCACAUCUCUCCAGAACAAAGAACCGCUAAGCAACCACCUGGCAAUGUUGUCAAUGGAAACAAAAUAUCCUGAUGUGUGCCUGACA
rnacentral:lncRNA from 1 species